rnacentral:rRNA from 1 species
CCUACGUGAGGCAGCAGUGAGGAAUAUUGGUCAAUGGACGCAAGCCUGAACCAGCCAAGUAGCGUGCAGGAUGACUGCCCUACGGGUUGUAAACUGCUUUUAUGCGGGGAUAAACUGAGUCACGUGUGGCUUAUUGUAUGUACCGCAUGAAUAAGGACCGGCUAAUUCCGUGCCAGCAGCCGCGGUAAUACGGAAGGUCCGGGCGUUAUCCGGAUUUAUUGGGUUUAAAGGGAGCGUAGACGGCAUGUUAAGCGAGUUGUGAAAGGCCGCGGCUCAACCGUGGCACUGCAAGGGAGACUGGCGGGCUUGAGUACGCUGGAGGUAGGCGGAAUUCGUGGUGUAGCGGUGAAAUGCUUAGAUAUCACGAAGAACUCCGAUUGCGAAGGCAGCUUACUGAAGCGCUACUGACGCUGAGGCUCGAAGGUGUGGGUAUCGAACAGGAUUAGAUACCCGGGUAGUC